rnacentral:rRNA from 1 species
UACGUAGGUGGCAAGCGUUAUCCGGAGUUACUGGGCGUAAAGCGCGUGUAGGUGGAUUGGUAAGUUACUUAUAAAAGCUCCUGGCUAAACUAGGAGAGGUUGGGUGAUACUGCCAGUCUUGAAUAGAGGAGAGGUUGACGGAAUUCCGCGUGUAGUGGUGAAAUGCGUAGAGAUGCGGAAGAACACCAGUGGCGAAGGCGGUCAACUGGCCUCAUAUUGACACUCAGACGCGAAGGCAUGGGUAGCGAACGGG